AGGAAGGACCAAACAAAAGGUGGAACAGCACAUGAGCUGUUCGUCUGACAUAGAGUGAACAAUGCUUGAGUGCUCCAUCCACCAGAACAAGUGUACUAGCUGGACUAAGCUGCCACCUAUGACUGACCCCACCAAAUCUAAGCCGAUCCUCUUGAAGGGGACCCUGACCACUGGGAGUGGAAUCAGAGGCACCUUCCAUACCUCCUUCGGGCCGGCGCACUGACACUUGGGGCAGGAAGCACAAAAGUCCUGCACAAAAAGAUUGGUGUGGAGUGGCGCAGGUGCCUGAUACUGUGGAG